AAAGGGUCAGACCCAUAAGACAAAAAGAAAAAAAGAGGGGAGGGUUUUUCAUAGAAAAGCUGAGAUUUACGAAGAUCCAAUGUUCAAUCUUCGAUCCGUCUUCGGAAACAUGAUCUUAACACUCGGAUCUACAUUUCUACCAUUCGUUUUGAGGUAUUGUGCUACUUGGAGCUUGCUUGUGGUUCCCCAAACUUCACAUAUUAUUUGGGUGAAUUUUAAUAUUGUGGGCUCAUAAUUCCACCUAUGCAGAUGCAGCAACCCCUGCAACCGUGCAGACAUUGAUGCUAUGGUUGCAUAUUUUGCGGGUAUAGAUAUUGACUCGUCCACCUAGCGUAUGGGACGCUAUGAUUGGAGCACAUCGCGACAAUCAUAAGUCACGGACUCAUGGGUAGUCCGUAUUUUGGGUAUUUUAUUUAUUGCUCGCGUCUUACGUGGCAUAUGUAUUUGUUGAGCCUAUAUUUUAGUUUCUAGUUAGUGUAAUGUGUUUUAUAAGCCUUAAAUAGAUAGACUUGUAAAUGGCCCUUGCUGUAAUUAACAGUUAUGUAUUAAAUGUAUUUCUACUAUUGAUAUGUGUUCCGCUGCACAUUGAUAUUUA